AAGAUGUUAACUUAAGUUAAAGUGUUGAAUUUUUAAUUCAAAAAUGUGUUUACACAUCUUAU
rnacentral:tRNA from 1 species